GCGUAAUCACGUGGCAAAGCGGCCAGUCUUCUGAGGCCGCUCAGACUGAGCGAGGCAGUCGGCAGAUUCACUAGAGGAGCGUGUUUUCAAGAUGUCUGGAUCAUUAAGUCUUGGUACGCGAUGGUGUGGCGGCAGGCGGCGGCACCUGGCGGUGGCUGCCUGAGCAGCGGGAGGCGACGUCAUGGCCGACCAGCGUAUUUCCGUGGUCGGGGCUGCCCAGCUGGCCGGCCGGCUGCGCACGGACCCUGCACAGGUGUUGGUGAUUGACAGCCGGCCCUUUCUGGAGUUCAACACGUGCCACAUCCGGGAUGCCGUCAACGUCUGCUGUUCCAAGAUCAUCAAGCGUCGUCUUGAGCGUGACAAGGCAAGUGG